AAAGUCCGGGCUCCAAAGGGCAGGGUGCCAGGUAACUCCUGGGAGGUGUGAACCUACGGAAAGUGCCACAGAAAAUAUACCGCCCGCUUGUUUUUCUUUUUGAGGCUCGUCCUUAAAAUGAUUCAAACAAGCGGGUAAGGGUGAAAUGGUGCGGUAAGAGCGCACCGCGCGAUUGGCAACAGUCGUGGCAGGGAAAACCCCACCCGGAGCAAGACCAAAUAGGAAUCCAUUUGACUGCAAAGUCAUAUCGUGCGGCCCGCACGGGAUUCGGGUAGGUCGCUUGAGGCAUACGGUGACGUGUGUCCCAGAUGAAUGA
rnacentral:RNase_P_RNA from 1 species